UACGUAGGGGGCUAGCGUUGUCCGGAAUCAUUGGGCGUAAAGCGCGCGUAGGCGGUCAGGUAAGUCCGGUGUGAAAGUCAAAGGCUCAACCUUUGAAUGCCGCUGGAUACUGCUUGACUUGAGUCCGGAAGGGGCGAGUGGAAUUCCUGGUGUAGCGGUGAAAUGCGCAGAUAUCAGGAAGAACACCUAUGGCGAAGGCAGCUCUCUGGGACGGUACUGACGCUGAGACGCGAAAGCGUGGGGAGCGAACAGG
rnacentral:rRNA from 1 species